rnacentral:rRNA from 1 species
AGGACGAACGCUUGCGGCGUGCCUAAGAAAUGCAAGUCGAACGGAUCAAGUAGCAAUACUUGGUUAGUGGCGAACGGUCGCGUAACACGUAAGAAACCUGCCUCAAAGUGGGGGACAACAUCCUGAAAGGGGUGCUAAUACCGCAUGUGGCCAACGGGGGGCAUCCCCUGUUGUCUAAAGGAAUUUAUUUCGCUUUGAGAUGGUCUUGCGGCCUAUCAGGUAGUUGGUGGGGUAACGGCCUACCAAGCCUUCGACGGGUAGCUGGUCUGAGAGGACGAUCAGCCGGAUUGGGACUGAGAUACGGCCCAGACUCCUACGGGGGGCAGCAAUUAGGAAUCUUGCACAAUGGGCGAAAGCCUGAUGCAGCGACGCCGCGUGAAGGAUGAAGGUUCUCGGAUCGUAAACUUCUUUUGACAGGGAAGAAAUUUGACGGUACCUGUCGAAUAAGCCCCGGCUAACUACGUGCCAGCAGCCGCGGUAAUACGUAGGGGGCGAGCGUUGUCCGAAGUUACUGGGCGUAAAGCGCGCGUAGGCGGUUUUUUAAGUCUGGGGUGAAAGGUUCAGCGCUCAACGUGAACAUUGCCUUGGAAACUGGACAACUUGAGUUUGGGAGGGGGUAGCGGAAUUCCUGGUGUAGCGGUGAAAUGCGUAGAUAUCAGGAGGAACACCGAUGGCGAAGGCAGCUACCUGGCCUAAAACUGACGCUGAGGCGCGAAAGCGUGGGGAGCAAACGGGAUUAGAUACCCCGGUAGUCCACGCCGUAAACGAUGAGUGCUAGGUGUUCGAGGUAUCGACCUCUCGGGUGCCGUCGCUAACGCAGUAAGCACUCCG